GAUGAAGAACGUAGCGAAAUGCGAUAAGUAAUGUGAAUUGCAGAAUUCAGUGAAUCAUCGAAUCUUUGAACGCACAUUGCGCCCGCCAGUAUUCUGGCGGGCAUGCCUGUCCGAGCGUCAUUUCAACCCUCAAGCCCCCGGGCUUGGUGUUGGGGAUCGGCGAGCCUCCGCGCCCGCCGUCCCCUAAAUCUAGUGGCGGUCUCGCUGUAGCUUCCUCUGCGUAGUAGCACACCUCGCACUGGGAAACAGCGCGGCCACGCCGUUAAACCCCCAACUUCUGAACGUUUGACCUCGGAUCAGGUAGGAAUACCCGCUGAACUUAAGCAUAUCAAUAAGCGGAGGA
rnacentral:misc_RNA from 1 species